GAAACAGCACGAUUUUGACCUUCUACCGAUAAGAAUUGUCGGUAAGACAGUGCGAUUUUUACCGUCGACCGCUACAACUGUCGGCGAGGUUGCACGUUUUUGACCUCAAGUCGGUACGGUAGAGCACGUUUUAUGUGACGAGAGUGGGAGUAACCUUUAAGGCUUUGCGUCUGGGAUGCGCAGAGCGGCUCGGUCAGUAAAGAAGGUGUUUGUACUCAGAACCCCCCCUUGCUAUACUACUAAUCCUUACACAUUAUUUUUGAUGUGUUCUUAUACUGAAACUAUUUAUUACUAUUCAAGGUAACCUAAGGUGGUUAUGGGUGGUUGUUGGAGGUAGUUGGCGGUGGUUGGAGAUGGUUGGAGGUGGACAAGGAGGAGAACGAAGACGACGAGGAGAACGAGAAUUUGUGCUCGUAUUUCACAACAGUGAUACCUUAUCACAUGGACAGUGGCCCACCUGAUAAUCAAGCAUUACAAGUCCUCAUUAAGAUAUUAAAGGAUAUUAAUGAGGAUAGUCCAACGGUGCCCACAUUAUUAACGGACUACAUAUUGAAAGUUCUGUGCCCCACCUAGGGAUCCACCAGUACAUAUCCU